GUCUUAUUGAAUAAAUAAUAAGUCUAUUCUGCCCAUUGAAAAUAAUUAAAAGGCUGCGGUAUAUUAACUGUACGAAGGUAGCAAAAUAAAUAGUUUUUUAAUUGAAAACUUGUAUGAAAGAGUAAAUAAGAUAUAAAUUGUCUCAAUUUAAUUAAAUUAAAUUUGAAUUAAAAGUUAAAAUGCUUUUAUUAUUUUAUUAGACGAUAAGACCCUAAGAAUUUAAUUAUAAAUUUUUUAAUGUUAUGUGAAAAAAUUAAUAUUAAAAUUUUAAUAAUUUUAUUGGGAGGGUAAUUAAAUUUUUGAACUUUAAUUAAUAAUAAAUAUUUAUAAAUAAAAUUUUAAUGAUUAAUAUAAGGAUUAUAAGAAUAAAUUACCUUAGGGAUAACAGCGUAAUAAUUUUGGAGAGUUCAUAUUGAUAGAAUUGUUUGCGACCUCGAUGUUGAAUUAAAAUAAAAAUUAAAUGAAGAUAUUUAAAUUUUUAGUCUGUUCGACUAUUAAAAUUUUACAU
rnacentral:rRNA from 1 species